GGCAAAGACGGAAAUUGAGUGGCCGUGAGCGAACGCGCGGACACCGGCCGCCAUCUUGAGAAAUUAACUUUGGCCCUGAGGAAAGGAUGAGAUGAGCUUACUGCUUCACCUCCACACCUGAGCACCAUGGGCACAAGCCACUGUCCAGACUGCAGGGAGACCAUCAACUCCACUUUGAAGCCACUGUGACGAGACGCUGAAUGAGAGCAAAAACGGGGCCUGUCAGAACCUUGCCUAGCCUGGCCCGGGCCGCCUGGAGUUCUGCUGGGAAAAUAACCAAAACGGGACUACUUACAAGGUGAAAGCCCCCCGGGCGUUUCUUGUCUACCUCAGAGCGCCACAGUGGUGGUUACCAACAUUAGCAGGGAUUUAUGGUGAGUGCAGUGAUUUAGUACGAGGAGAAAAAAAAUGGUUGCUCGUAUAUUAAAAAAAGAGGCCGCGGUUGUAAUCGCGCCCUGUGCGAUAUAAGACCUUUAAUUUGUAGUCGGCCCGCACAGCAAGCUUCAUCAUGUCUGGGAACACCUGGCUCUGACUCUCAUCUUUCUAACCUAAAACCAAGUCUAGUACCCUCUCACGGUGCAGGUAGAUAAAACUCAUUCAGUACCAGCCAAUUCUGGGCCAAGUCUGAAAAGACGUUUAAAACCGUCUUUGGGAGUGAAUGAGUUAAGAGCAAAACAUUGCUU